GGAGACGAACACGCUUGCGGCCCACUCUCCCCACCCCACGUCUUCCCUUGGUAAGGAAUUUGGAUCCUCAUCCAGUCCUUCUGGUUUUUGUUAUACUCUGAGGCUCACCUGAGGCUCUGUGAUAAAGGAUGGACCACAUAUUGUGUCUUCAACAAAGACCAUCUCAGUGACGCAUGGGAAAGAAGUGUACCAGGAGGAGAGUCACUGUCUAAGGUCACAGAGCCAGCUCAGAGUGCUCCGCUGCUCCUGGGGUUGCAGAGGGGCUACAGAGGGGCUGCAGAGGGUAUGAGCCAAGAAGGAGGCUUAUGGGACCACCUCAUACACAUUAAGAUGGCUACUAUCAAAAAAACAACAACCAGAAAAUGACAAGUGUUGGCAGGAUGUGGAGACAUUGGAAGCUGGUGCUUUGCUGGUGGGAAAGUAGAAGUUGCAGCAGCUAUGGAAAAUGCUCCAACGGUCCCUCAAAAGGCUGAAAUCAGAGACCUCCGUGGUGUUUCAGAGGACAGGAGGGUGUGCAGAGGACGCCCCAGAAAUCUUUCCCACAGGAGAAAGGCUCAGAAGACCAAGCCAGCUACCCUACAGUCACCAAAGGCCCCCAUGUGGUGGAGCAGGGGAGCAGGGCAGCUGGGUCCUGAAGGAGAAGGUUCCUGAACUGCCUGGGGACAGCAAAAAUGAUGACUUUUCUAAAGCCCACCUGGAGCUGCUUGGAAGCAGAUCCUGAAUACGUGGCUCUAGAAGGCAAGACCCUGUGACUCACAGGGCCUUGGGCAUCCUGCAUCUCAGGAAUGCCAGUGUUCAUGGACAGCAGACUGCCCGAGGUGUAAUCGGUGUCUUCCCGGUGCUAGCUGUUUACUUGCACACAUCUAGGCAAACUUCUCAGCCUCCCCUGGCCUCCAUUACAGGAAAACAGGAAUUCUCUCCUGCCCCUACCUCACAGGAUGGGCCUAGGACCAGCUGAUGUGCUGGUUAACACAGACCUUUCCAGAGAGACGUGCUCAUCAGAUACAAGGCAGGCAUAUCCUCAUCAUUUUGAGUACAUUGACAAUUAGCCCAAGGAGAACCCGCAGGGCUGGGACCACCCUAAUGUGGCACAAAGGGAAGCCAGUGGAGAGCCAACUGAGAGCUCUGGCCUGUCAGGUUGUAUAGAAAUGUCACAGAGAGAGUAGCUCUCAUAGCUGACAACACCCUGUGGGGGGCUGGGGCUGAGGCAAGGAACAGAGAGGAGAAACUCCUUAAGCAAAGGAUCUAGUAGUGUCUUUCUCUCAAGACAGGCCUUUCAAGGAGCAACUUGCUCCACACCAGACUUUUUCUCUUUUCCAAAAGCUCAAGCUCCUCUUCCUCACGAUGACAGCCAUGGUGGUCUCCAGCUGACACUGUAUUCACUCUAGGAAUGACUUCAAGGUGGGUUUCCUGAUGGCUCAUGAAGGUAGCUUCGCUAAACCACACACUGUAAAUCAAGUACAUUUUUCCAGCCAUUUGCAUUGAAAAUGGCAGGCAUUUGGCCACACACUUUGUGGAGGGAUGCACUUGUCGGUUGCCUUCGAAGAAGAGCAGAGUGAGGAGCGCUGGGAGGACGAGAGAGCACGGGCUGAGCAGCAUAGGGGGAAGGACACCAAGCUCAAGAGGCAGCUACAUGAGAUAGUGAAGAAGGACAGCCGUCUUGGGAUUCCUCUGCAGGGCUAUCAAGUUAAUUCCACGUGCUGAGGUCAUGGAGUGUCACGUGGGGUACUAGAUUGCCGGUGGUGGAGACAGAAGACGGAGGUGACACAGAAGCAUAAAACAACACUCCUACUCACGAAGAAUUCACCCAGGAAGGCAGAAGAAAUAAAGAACAGAAAUAAAGGAAGGAAUACAUGAACAGGAAGGAUUUUCCUUUUCCCAGAGAAGACCUGAUUCUUGUAAAGGGCUUUAACAUGUUCAAAUACAUGACGGGUUUCGUCUUCACAGCGUUUUUUUUUUUUUUUUUUCCUUUUUCUCCCCAAAGCCCCCCGGUACAUAGUUGUAUAUUCUUCGUUGUGGGUCCUUCUAGUUGUGGCAGGUGGGAUGCCGCCUCAGCGUGGUUUGAUGAGCAGUGUCAUGUCCGCGCCCAGGAUUCGAACCAACGAAACACUGGGCCGCCUGCAGCGGAGCGCGCGGACUUAACCACUCGGCCACGGGGCCAGCCCCUCGUCUUCACAGCCUUUCGAGGGAGCUGCUUGUACACAUGAGAACAGUGAGGCUCGAGUUCACAUCCAUGAAAACCGUGGGCGGACCACAGUGCCCUCUGUGAAUCCAGACCUUGGGGCAGGCGAGGGAUAGGAAGAAGGGCUUCAGAACCCAAGCUGCCAUGCUGACGUGGACCCAAGGAGAGGCCCUCCUGGGCCAAGGACGAGGGUUGGGGUGAAUGACUCUGGGUUCAGAGACAGCUCUUGUUGCCUGGGUCAGGGGAAGGCACAGUGGGCGAACAGCGUGGAGGGGGAGAGGCCCACUGGCCUGGGGUCUCAGCUGGUCUUGGCCUCUCCCAUUUCUUCUGGUCUUAAGAAUCUGGAGGGGAGUCAAAUAACACUCUUCUCCAGGGAACAGCACCCCUCAUUCCACUGCCUACUCUGGGGACUCUGUCCCAGCCUUAUACUCAGGCCACUCAGAACCCCAGGCUCCAUCUUCCUCACUCAUCUGCUAAUUUAUGCAGACAUGGGC
ensembl:lncRNA